rnacentral:rRNA from 1 species
AACGAACGCUGGCGGCAGGCCUAACACAUGCAAGUCGAGCGCCCAGCAAUGGGAGCGGCGGACGGGUGAGUAACGCGUGGGAAUUUUUCCUGGAGUACGGAACAACCGAGGGAAACUUCGGCUAAUACCGUAUGAUGCCGAGAGGCCAAAGAUUUAUCGCUCUGGGGUGAGCCCGCGUCAGAUUAGGUAGUUGGUGGGGUAAAGGCCUACCAAGCCUGCGAUCUGUAGCUGGCUGAGAGGACGAUCAGCCACACUGGGACUGAGACACGGCCCAGACUCCUACGGGAGGCAGCAGGUGGGGAAUCUUGCGCAAUGGGCGAAAGCCUGACGCAGCCAUGCCGCGUGAGUGAAGAAGUCUUAGAUUGUAAAGCUCUUUCGCUCGUGACGAUGAUGACGGUAACGAGAGAAGAAGCCCCGGCUAACUUCGUGCCAGCAGCCGCGGUAA